rnacentral:rRNA from 1 species
AGAGUUUGAUCAUGGCUCAGGACGAACGCUGGCGGCGUGCUUAACACAUGCAAGUCGAGCGAUGAGAUCGCUUCGGUGAAGGAUUAGCGGCGAACGGGUGAGGAACACGUGAAGAAUCUGCCUUCAACUCUGGGAUAACUCCGGGAAACCGGGGCUAAUACCGGAUAUGAGCCUUGAUCGCAUGAUCGGGGCUGGAAAGUUUUUCGGUUGAAGAUGACUUCGCGGCCUAUCAGCUUGUUGGUGAGGUAAUGGCUCACCAAGGCGACGACGGGUAGCCGGCCUGAGAGGGCGACCGGCCACACUGGGACUGAGACACGGCCCAGACUCCUACGGGAGGCAGCAGUGGGGAAUAUUGGGCAAUGGAGGAAACUCUGACCCAGCGACGCCGCGUGCGGGAUGAAGGCCUUCGGGUUGUAAACCGCUUUCAGCAGGGAAUAAGCCCAAGUGAAGGUACCUGCAGAAGAAGCACCGGCUAACUAUGUGCCAGCAGCCGCGGUAAUACAUAGGGUGCAAGCCGUUUGUCCGGAAUUAUUGGGCGUAAAGAGCUCGUAGGUGGUUUGGUACGUCGGUUGUGAAAUUCAGGGGCUCAACCCCUGACUUGCAGCCGAUACGGGCAAGCUAGAGUUUGGUAGGGGA